rnacentral:rRNA from 1 species
CAGCAGCCGCGGUAAUACGUAGGUGGCAAGCGUUGUCCGGAAUUAUUGGGCGUAAAGGGUUCGCAGGCGGUUUCUUAAGUCUGAUGUGAAAGCCCCCGGCUCAACCGGGGAGGGUCAUUGGAAACUGGGAAACUUGAGUGCAGAAGAGGAGAGUGGAAUUCCACGUGUAGCGGUGAAAUGCGUAGAGAUGUGGAGGAACACCAGUGGCAAAGGCGACUCUCUGGUCUGUAACUGACGCUGAGGAGCGAAAGCGUGGGGAGCGAACAGGAUUAGAGACCCGCGUAGUCCCUGUCUCUUAUAC